CUCUUGCACAUGGGGAGGUGCAUGAGUGUGACCUCUUGUACAAGCAGUGGUGCAGAAAGAUCCCUCCUCUUUGUGCAAGGGUCCGUUGCACAUGGGGAGGUGCAUAAGUGGACGUUCUUGCACAAGGGCUGGUGCACCAGUCUGUUGUGCAAGGUGCACAAACGGACCUCUUCUUGCACCAGGCUGUUGCACGAGAGGUGGUGCGUGGAUCUGUCGCACAAGCAACCUCUUCUUGCACAAGGGGUAGCGCUCAAGUGUGGUGUGCAACAGGACACCUCUUGCACAAGCCUUUCACACAAGGGGGCGCUUCCUGUACAAGCGAUCGUGCACCAGUUUGUUGCACAAGCAGUGGUGCACUAGUGCGACCUGUCGCACCAGGAGCGUGUGGGUGUUGCACUGUUCAGGUGCACAAAGCCCUGUGUUGCACAAUGAGGGUGCACAACACCCAGCAUUGCACUAUUGCCUUGCACAUGACCCCGUGUGGCACUUUGGUGUUGCACAAGGCCCUGUGUGACACAAUACUGUUGCACGAGGCCCUGUGUUGCACAACGAGGCCGCACAAGGCCCAGCCUUGCACCUCUGCCUUGCACAAGGCCUAGUGUUGCACCACAGUAUUGCACAACCUCAUGUGGAAUCCUCGUGUUGCACAAGGCCCCGUGUGGCGCUGUAGUGUUGCACAAGCCCCUGUGUUGCACCGCAACAGUGCACACAACCCGAGGUCUCACCCUCGUGUUGCACAAGGCGCUGUGUGGAGUUUUAGUGUUGCACAAGGCCCUGUGUUGCACCACACCGUUGCACACGACCCUAUGUUCCACUCUUGUGUUGCACAAUGAGGGUGCACAAGACCCACAGUUGCCCCACUGCCUUGCACAAGGCCCCGUGUGGCACUUUAGUGUUGCACCAUACAGAUGCACACGUUUCACCCUUGUGUUGCACAAGGCCCAGUGUGGCACUUUAGUGUUUCACAAGGCCCCGUGUUGCACCACCACAGUGUUGCACACCACCCUGUGUCACACCCUCGUGUUUCACACGCAGUCCAGGUGCACCAGAGCCCCUUGCACGAGGCCCUGCAUCUCACAAAUCCAACGGGUGCCCACACCCCGUUGCACGCUGCUGCUGUGGGGCACAAAUCCGUUGCACGAGGCCCCAGCACGAGUCUCCGAGUGUGAGGGCAGCCGCUCCUUGCACGAGUCCGUUGCACGAGGCUCCCCAUGUUGCAUGGAGUCUGUGUCCCUCACACGAUUUGCAGCUGCACGGGGCCGUGUUGCACGAGGUCCAGUGUUGCACGAGGUCCAGUGUUGCACGAGGGCAUGUUGCACUGUGUCCUGUGUUGCGCACGGCCCCCUAUUGCACAAGGCUGUGAAGCACGAGGUCCCGAGUUGCACGUGGUCCUGCGCUGCACAAGGGUCUGUUGCACAAGGCUCCACCUUGCACGAGGUCCCACCUUGCACGAGGCCACCGUUGCACCCACGCUGCCAUCCGUUGCACGAGGAUGCUGUUGCACGAGGACCUGGGAUUCCCUCCAUCCCUUGCACGCCCGCAAGAAACUCACAACACAAAAAAGGUCACGCUUUGCACACGGCGGGGGGGGUCGCACGUGUUUGUGCAUUGCACGAGGGCACGGAGCUCGCACUGAGUUGCACGAGGCCGUCGGUGCAAACGCAGCACUGCUCCUUCCGUGCAAAACGCUUCACCACGGCGCAGCCCACGACCCCCUUCUUGCACGAGGGCGCGCACAAGCAAAGCGCCACGUCUUGCAAGAGGGCUGCCGUGCAAAAAACCGUGUUGCACGACCGCCACACUGCAAGGAAACGUGCCUUGCACGGUGUUGUGCGUUGCACGAGAGCAAUGUUGCACAAUAGUGCACAAUGCACCCCGCCGUGCAACGCAUGAGGGAUUCACUGUCCGACAGUGUACAGUGCGUUGCACGAGAGCUUCAGUGCAAAAGAGUGUGAGGUGCGAUUUGCACCAGAGCUUCAGUGCAAAGCACGCAUUGCACAGCGUCGUGCAAUGCACGAGUCCUUCAUUCUAAGAGUGUGCACUGCAAUGCACAAUUGCUUCCGUGCAAAUGCAGUGCC
ensembl:lncRNA